AUGGACGCACAUGUUACAUGCGGCGCGCGCGCACACACACACACUGUCUCACAUAUUUCCUUUCUGAUAGUGUUUGUCUUUCUCUUAACCUUUUCUUCUCAUCCAUUGGCUCUCUCCCUGGAGCGCUGGUCUCCUCUGUCACUCUAUCUUUUUCCAUCACAUUUCAGGCUGGCUGAUCAGAUCAGACACUUGGAGAAGACCACAAUUCUCCAAUCCCUCCUGCAGGACUUUGUAUCUCUAUCCUGCUUCAACGUGCCGAGUGUGCAAGACUGUCAUGGAGGGAAAAGUUGUACUGCUGGAUUUUCCCAAGCCACUGACCUAAUUCAAGUCCUUAAAAGCAUGGAGGAAAGAGGAAGACUUAAUGCUCAGAGCACAAGUAAAGACUCAAAAAGAGGGA
rnacentral:lncRNA from 13 species